AGUGAACGCUGGCGGUAGGCCUAACACAUGCAAGUCGAACGGCAGCACAGGAGAGCUUGCUCUCUGGGUGGCGAGUGGCGGACGGGUGAGGAAUACAUCGGAAUCUACUCUGUCGUGGGGGAUAACGUAGGGAAACUUACGCUAAUACCGCAUACGACCUACGGGUGAAAGCAGGGGAUCUUCGGACCUUGCGCGAUUGAAUGAGCCGAUGUCGGAUUAGCUAGUUGGCGGGGUAAAGGCCCACCAAGGCGACGAUCCGUAGCUGGUCUGAGAGGAUGAUCAGCCACACUGGAACUGAGACACGGUCCAGACUCCUACGGGAGGCAGCAGUGGGGAAGAUUGGACAAUGGGCGCAAGCCUGAUCCAGCCAUACCGCGUGGGUGAAGAAGGCCUUCGGGUUGUAAGGCCCUUUUGUUGGGAAAGAAAUCCAGCUGGCUAAUACCCGGUUGGGAUGACGGUACCCAAAGAAUAAGCACCGGCUAACUUCGUGCCAGCCGCCGCCGUAA
rnacentral:rRNA from 1 species